rnacentral:rRNA from 2 species
UUUAUCGGAGAGUUUGAUCCUGGCUCAGGACGAACGCUGGCGGCGUGCCUAAUACAUGCAAGUCGAGCGGAUUGAUGGGAGCUUGCUCCUUGAUAUCAGCGGCGGACGGGUGAGUAACACGUGGGUAACCUGCCUGUAAGACUGGGAUAACUCCGGGAAACCGGGGCUAAUACCGGAUAACUCAUUUCCUCGCAUGAGGAAAUGUUGAAAGAUGGCUUCUUGCUACCACUUACAGAUGGACCCGCGGCGCAUUAGCUAGUUGGUGAGGUAACGGCUCACCAAGGCAACGAUGCGUAGCCGACCUGAGAGGGUGAUCGGCCACACUGGGACUGAGACACGGCCCAGACUCCUACGGGAGGCAGCAGUAGGGAAUCUUCCGCAAUGGACGAAAGUCUGACGGAGCAACGCCGCGUGAGUGAUGAAGGUUUUCGGAUCGUAAAGCUCUGUUGUUAGGGAAGAACAAGUGCCG